rnacentral:rRNA from 1 species
GGCCACACUGGGACUGAGACACGGCCCAGACUCCUACGGGAGGCAGCAGUGGGGAAUAUUGCACAAUGGGCGCAAGCCUGAUGCAGCGACGCCGCGUGAGGGAUGACGGCCUUCGGGUUGUAAACCUCUUUCAGCAGGGAAGAAGCGAAAGUGACGGUACCUGCAGAAGAAGCGCCGGCUAACUACGUGCCAGCAGCCGCGGUAAUACGUAGGGCGCGAGCGUUGUCCGGAAUUAUUGGGCGUAAAGAGCUCGUAGGCGGCUUGUCACGUCGGUUGUGAAAGCCCGGGGCUUAACCCCGGGUCUGCAGUCGAUACGGGCAGGCUAGAGUUCGGUAGGGGAGAUCGGAAUUCCUGGUGUAGCGGUGAAAUGCGCAGAUAUCAGGAGGAACACCGGUGGCGAAGGCGGAUCUCUGGGCCGAUACUGACGCUGAGGAGCGAAAGCGUGGGGAGCGAACAGGAUUAGAUACCCUGGUAGUCCACGCCGUAAACGGUGGGCACUAGGUGUGGGCAACAUUCCACGUUGUCCGUGCCGCAGCUAACGCAUUAAGUGCCCCGCCUGGGGAGUACGG